rnacentral:lncRNA from 1 species
UAAAGCAUCCUGGAUACAAAAUCCUUGUUUCCGUUAUGCGCAUAAGGGCUUAGCUUACACUAUGUUUGGUAGAGGUGAUAGUACGGGGGUAGUUACAAAAAGGGAAUUAUAUUUAUUGCAUGCUAUGAUCUAUGAUGUUCCUGUUAAUGUUGCAGCAUUUGUCGCAGAUCAUUUGACGGCCAUGGGUAAGGCUACUAAGGGUGCUAUCUCUGUUGGGGGUUUAAUUACUCAAAUUGCUGAUCAUUGCGGUUGCCGAAUCGCUAUGGAUGGAGAAGAACCCCUUAAGUCUUUGAGCAAAGUGGAUUUGAAGGCAUUAUGCCAACAACUGAUGUUGCAAAUAAG